rnacentral:guide_RNA from 1 species
AUAAACUAUACAAUCAGAUUGCCGAUAGAAGGUUGUGAUUUAAU